rnacentral:rRNA from 1 species
CAGUCGCCACGGGAAUACGAAGGGUGCAAGCGUUAAUCGGAAUUACUGGGCGUAAAGCGUGCGUAGGCGGUUUGUUAAGUCUGCUGUGAAAUCCCCGGGCUCAACCUGGGAAUGGCAGUGGAUACUGGCUCGCUAGAGUGUGUCAGAGGAUGGUGGAAUUCCCGGUGUAGCGGUGAAAUGCGUAGAGAUCGGGAGGAACAUCAGUGGCGAAGGCGGUCAUCUGGGACAACACUGAUGCUGAGGCACGAAAGCGUGGGGAGCAAACAGGAUUAGAUACCCCCGUAGUCCCUGUCUCUUAUAC